UCAAUGUGUAGGAAAAAAUAUAUGUUACAUUCCAUUCUAGAAACUUCCAUCUAAAGCCACCACUCUGCAUUCCCUGUCACUCCUCCACAGUCUGGUCUUGCCGAAGAAAGCUUAGUCUGUAGAGAUCACCUAGAAGACUUGUUCAUUCCUUCAACCAAGUGUUUGCUGAGAGCCAACAGUGUGCUUUUACACAAAGCCUGACCAGCAAAAUGGCAUAGUUAUUCCAGGCGGGGGAAGAGUGGAAAGAGGUCACAAAAUGUCCAGAGCUGGAUGCCUCAUCAGAGAGGAUAUUAUGUGAGUACCUUGUUGGCCUAAUUAGGGGCGGGAGGGAGAAAGCAGUGAGGCUGGG
ensembl:lncRNA